ensembl:misc_RNA Metazoa_SRP Metazoan signal recognition particle RNA
GCUGGGCACAGUGGCACGCUGCUCUAGUCCCAGUUACCCGGGAGGCUGAGGCAAGAGGAUUGCUUGAGCCGAGGGCUUCUGGACUGGAGUGCACUGUGCCAAUUGGGUGUCCACACUCAAGUUUGGCAUCAAUAUGAUGACCUCCUGGGAAUGGGAACCGACCCAGGAAACAUAGGUCAAGACUCUCAUGCUGAUCAGUAGUGGGAUAGCACCUGUGAAUAGCUACUGCGCUUCAGCCUGGGCAACAUAGAGAGACCCUGUCUAAA